AUGGCUUAUCGUCCCAUAGAAAAUUUGAAACUACACCUUUUUCUACUCACAAACGUGUUUGACCGUCUAUACUUCUCUAGCUAGUCUGUGGUUACAAAUUUGACAUUGACGUUUGUGUUGUGUUUAAGUUGGGAUAUUCACACGAAAUCCUUUUUUUUAUUACCGAGAUUUAAUCUAACAAAACGAUUGUAUACUUGUUUCGUAAAAAUGAGUAAAAGAAAACAUCAAAAGUCUUUGCCGCCCACCCAAAAUGCUUCAUCAGCAUCACUACAAGACUCAUCAGACGAAGAGGACCAUGUUCAUAACAUGCAGAACGCCGUUAAGGAGUGUGCUCGAUAUAUCCUUCACCGGGAAGGAAGCAAGAUCCCUAUCAAAAAAGCUGAUAUCGCCAAGCAUUUGGCUACGGCUUGCCAAACUCCAUCGCAGCAUGUCUCCAGUGUCAUUAGUGCUGUUGAAAAAUUACUUAAAAAGGUGUAUGGUUAUAAGCUGGUCGCAAUAAAAGGCAAAAGUGGGGUCCAAUACAUAGUGGUGUUGACAGAGGAGUGUGAGUCUCUCCCGUCUAAUGUGUCGGAGCCCGAGCUCAGGACCAUGCUGAUGGCUUCGCUCACACACAUAUUCAUGUCUGGGGGCAGUGUUAAGGAAGAUGACCUGUGGAAGUUCCUGAGUGAGGCAGGUCUGCUGGAGGAGAAUGACUUUGCCGGCAGGAAGGCUUUCAUUGCCACCUUCACUAGACAACUGUACUUGACAUUCUCAAAGGUUGGCGAUGGCGAUUUAGCGUGGAACGUUUUCGAAUGGGGCCAGAGAGCUCAUCAGGAAGUGCCCAAAAUGUUCCUAUUGCAGAAGAUGGCUGAGGCAUUCGAGAAAACCCCUGACCACUGGGCUGAGCAGUAUAAACAAGCGAACGAAAGUAACACUGCGGCCGCGUCAUAAAAAACUAUGUUAUCGUAAAUUACCUACUGUUCCAGUCAUUAAAUGUUGUCAUUAUUGUUAUUGUUCUAAAGUACACUUGCUUUUGACGGUAUGUAAGCAAGAUAAUACUAUAUGCAUGGCGCUGUCUCGCUCGCACACCGUUGCCGCAUUUGGGCUAUAAUCGCGAACAUCGAAGUUCGUCGAUUGCGGGCAUUUUUCUCUGUCGUGAGAGUAAAAGAGAAAGAUCCCCGCAAUUUGCGGAGUUCGGUUUUCGCGGUAGGCCCCUUGAGGGUCUACUACGAACCGCUUCGUCUAUUGCUCUAUUUGCCUCUAUUGCUCGAAUUGCCUCGAAUAUGCAAAAAAAAAAGAGGCUGAUAACGAAAUGUCACGGUGUGUUCACGGUAAGGCUUCUGAUUGCGGCGACAGUGAAGCCUGUUUCACUACCCUUGCCAGAUGUCAUAAACAUUUACAUUUACACGUCCCGUGUUUUCUUGUGCAUAGUAGGUUCUGCCAUCUUGUGGGCUACAUCGGAACAAUAAACAUCCCAUUUACGCAAGGGCCUGACACUCUUUGAUAGAGAAAGAUAGUCUUAUUGCGAUUCCUAUAAGAGGAAAGAGAAAAUAGUGCAAUGCUUUGUCUUUAUCACCGACCGGGUUUUUUUUCAUGGUCGGGUUAUGGCAGCUUAGGAAGGAGGGUGAUGGCGAUAUACAGAAAUUUAUAAGAGUGAAAGAGACAAAAUCCCGCAAGAUGCCAUACAUUAAACUGUCAAUCAUAUUGUCAAGAGUGCUAGUAAACAACGUGGUUUUCUUAUUGUAGAAGUUUUAUAAAGUGAAUGAUUGUGUUUAUUAAGUAUUUAAUGGAGGUGUAAGAAGUUUUUCGUACAAUUAACAUGGUGGGGUGUUCAGUGGUUGCCUACAAAAGCAAUAACUUGCGAAAAUAAGCGGGUGUAACAUUUCAUGCCUCUCCGACGGAGGAUGAAAUUGUUAAAGAAUGGAUUGCGGGAACUGGAAAAUCAAAUUGGAUGCCUCACAAAUACUCGCGUAUUUGUUCCAAACAUUUUGAACAACAUUGUGUCCGCAAACUGGGCAAACGAACUUUCAUCGAAAAGUUUUCUUUUCCAACCUUAUUCAUACACGUAAGUUGGCUGUUAUUAAAUAAGUAAUAGUAACUAGUGGGAAUAACCCGUUACACUAUACACUAUUAGAGUUGGUACAUCUUAACAUAGGUCUCACAGUGUUUUGAAGUAUUUAUUUGGGUUCUUUGUACACGGGUCGUCUACGGGUUUUAAUGGUAUUAAACUCUAACAAAUUAUUGGGGGUAAUUUCUGGGAAUUAAAAAUCCUACCUAUUACCAGUGGGAAUUUUAUUUCCCAGUAGUUACCAGUGGUAAAAGGUGGGAAUAAAAUUAGUGUAACUACCUGUGGUAAAAGGUGGACAAAAGUUCCUAGUAGUUACCACUAGUAACAACUUGGUGGUAACUAGCAGGAAUAACCCUAUAUAAGACCACAGACUUAAAUUUUUAAAUUGUUUCUUGGAGGCUUGGUACAUGGGAUUACGGAUUAUAUGAGUAUUAAACUCCAAAAUAAUGUAUUUAUUAAAAUUGAUUAAUUGCCCCGCAGGAGAGGAGAGAGAAAAUUCUUUUCUUCAUCAUGUCAUGGAAAUCGUCCAUUCGUGCACGUCGUCGUCGUGGCAGUCUCAACAGCAUUCUGAAGCUAUUAUUGAACUUCAUAUAAUUGAUCCACAGGUUACAAGUGUAUGUGUAAAUAAAGUUUUCUUGACCCCCACAAUAUGUACAACGCGCAACACGUAAGAUUUUUUAUUUAAACAAAUAUUCGGUUUUAAGUAACAGUUUUAAUGUAAAUGACCAUGUCAACUUAAAAUCAUAUACUGCGAAUCAAUAUUAUAGCUAUAAAUGUCAGUGCGCUGUGUUCCUUUUCAAUAUCCGCAUCGUCCUUUAGAUUUUUAGUAAUUAUAUGUCCUAGGUAUUAAAAAAUGAACACUCUGCUCAAGGCAAAACCACCGAGUGUCACCGGUUCAACUAUCGGUAGGAUUACCUGCUCGGAAGAUGAGUAUCUUACGUUUUUAGUAAUAUUGAUGAGCCAAUGAGAAUCUGCAUACGUGUCAUACACCUUUCAAUCAAUCAAUUUUUUCAUAAAUUCAAUUUAUUUGUGUUGUUCUCAAGUAAAAGGUACCGCAUUGUCGCUUAUCAUAAGGACGCUCUUACAGGUUAUUCGUAUAGAGAGCAAGCAAAUUGUAUCCUUAUGGUAAGCGACUAUGUGGUACCUUUUACUUGAGAACGACACAUUUAAUUAUUAUUUCUAGUAAGUACAGUUAUAAUAAUAUAAGUUUUGAAUAAAGAAAUUACCUCUUUUGAUAGUUUAUCCUUUUUAUUCCAACAAUCACCUAAUCUUAUAUCAACUCAAAACUUCAUAUUGGUAAGUAAGGCUUACUUACAAAUUACUACAAAAACAAAUAAACCGACUACUAGUUGCGAUUAUGUUCGUUAUUUCUCUUGUGAUACUUCGCAAGUUAGGGAGUCAAAAUGGCGACUCACUCAUUACGUAAUUUAAGUACUUGUUGCAUCAUUUUCCUAUUACAUUUUAGGGUAAUUUUUUGCGACCAUGGUAACCCCAUAUUAUGAUGUCAUGAUGACGUCAUAUAUGUCUUUCUCUUACCCCUGGUCGCUCGACUUCUUGUCUAGUUAUAUUGUAUGUCUAUGCAUUUACGCCUCGCGCCAAAAAUCUGACGGCUCCUGUGCUGCCUCCUACAGUUCAUGCACGCUCCCUAUAGUGCUUUUCUCUAACAUGCAAUGAAAUAAACAACAAAAAAAAAACAAAGUUUUAUUUAAAAAAAAAAUAUCAGUAAACAAGACAAAAACUAAGGGUCUCCGCUAGCUGGCGCGGGUGCACGGAGCGGCGGCGGCGGGUGAACAUAACAACAAUAUUUCAUUGCAUGUUUGAGAAAAAUAAAUAAUUUAAAUAAAAAAGGGUACAGGCUAAGUGGUGAGCGUUCAGCGGCCUUCACGGUCUCUUCUAAUUAAAUUAUUAUAGGUUUUAAGUCGUUUUAUAACAAAUAAAAGUUUUUCAUAUGAUUCGA